rnacentral:rRNA from 1 species
UGCAAGUCGAACGAACCCUUCGGGGUUAGUGGCGCACGGGUGCGUAACGCGUGGGAACCUGCCUUUAGGUUCGGAAUAACUCAGAGAAAUUUGAGCUAAUACCGGAUGAUGUCUUCGGACCAAAGAUUUAUCGCCUUUAGAUGGGCCCGCGUUAGAUUAGAUAGUUGGUGGGGUAAUGGCCUACCAAGUCGACGAUCUAUAGCUGGUCUGAGAGGAUGAUCAGCCACACUGGGACUGAGACACGGCCCAGACUCCUACGGGAGGCAGCAGUGGGGAAUAUUGGACAAUGGGCGAAAGCCUGAUCCAGCAAUGCCGCGUGAGUGAUGAAGGCCUUAGGGUUGUAAAGCUCUUUUACCAGGAAUGAUAGUGACAGUACCUGGAGAAUAAGCUCCGGCUAACUCCGUGCCAGCAGCCGCGGUAAUACGGAGGAGCUAGCGUUGUUCGGAAUUACUGGGCGUAAAGCGCGCGUAGCGGCUUUUUAAGUCAGGGGUGAAAUCCCGGAGCUCAACUCCGAACUGCCCUUGAAACUGGGAAGCUAGAAUAUUGGAGAGUAAGUGGAAUUCCGAGUGUAUAGGUGAAAUUCGUAGAUAUUCGGAAAAC